AACUAAUUAGCAGUGUUUCUUAAUAGCCACAGAGAACUCUCAUGCUGGUCAGUGAGAGGAAGUGAGUUAUUGGGCCAGAAGUAACUGGAAGUUUGUUUGCUUGCCUUUUUGUUUCUUGGUUAAUAUUUUAUAUUUUGUACCCAGAGACUGCUGUGCUGACAGGGAUGAGAUAGAGAAUUGAAUCUGAAUGGAUGGAAAUGGAAAAUAAUGAUGACUAUCCCUGCAAGAAUUGUGGUGCCUGGCUUAGAUAACAGCUGCGAUCCUUCAAAGGAGAUGAGAUGGCGAGUUCUCACCACCCUGUCCUUCAGGGCCUCUUCUCAGCCCAGGAAGCAGGCUGCUGAGGUGGGCCGCAGUGAGGCUGGAGUGGACACACACAUGCCUCCAGCCUGACUUCCCAAGGCCAGCUUGCAGCACUCUCUCUAAACUUUCUCCAUUGUGACAUAGGAGAAAGAUAAGAUUGUGGCAGACCUUCACAAUGAAGACUCAAAGCUGGUUUCUAAUUCUCUGAGCCAUUUGAUGAUGGUGAUGGUGAGGAGGAGGAGGAUGAUACCACCACCUUUUGGAGGUUAAGCUAUGGGAAUCACUUGUAGAAGUGAUCGACCCUGGGCCACAGGAAGCUUCUAAUUGCUAUUGUCUGUGCACGUUCACAGAGAUCAUCUCCAGGUCAGGGACUGGCAAACUAUCCCAAGGGCCAAAUCUGGUUCACUGUUUCUUAAAUAAAGUUUCUUGGAACACAGCUACA